ACCAGGUGAUGACCAGUGCUUGGUUACGUCAUGUCAGGAUGAAACCAAGCACUGGUCAUCACCUGGCUGCAGAGAUGUGUGUGUCAGGUGUGUGUCUUUCCAAAUCAUGUCAAAUCAACUGACUUUAUCACAGGUGGACUUCAAUCAAGUUGUAGAAACAUCUAAAGGAUGUUUAGUUGAAACAGGAUGCACCUGAGCUCAAUUUUAAAUGUGUCACGGCAAAGAUGGUGAAUACUUAUGUACAUGUGAUUCUUUGUUCAUUUUUAUAUUUUGAAUACAUUUGCAAAGAUUAAAAAAAAAAACUCUUUCAUGUUGUCCAUAUUAGGGAUUGAUUGUAGAAUUUUGAGGAAAUUAAUAGAUUCAAUCAAUUUUGGAAUGGGGCUGUAACAUCACAAUGUGAAAAAAAGUGAAGCGCUGUAAAUACUUUCCGGAUGCACUGUACAUAUAGUUUUGUGAUUUGUUAAUAAAAUAUGUAAUGUGAGUGCUUUAUAGCACCAGAACACCAGCUGAACUCAUCCAUGAACACAUUGAUAUGGAAAAACCGGGGAAAACCAUGCAAGAUCACUACUCGUACAAGCAGCAGCAGGGUCAGAGCGAAAGUGUUCACCUGGCUGAAAGAACAGAGGGACACACACAUCCAUCAGCAGAGCAAUACCCACUUCCUGCUAGAGAGAGCCGUGUCGCCCGGCGGGUAUCAGGUUCUGUUCUGGUGACGCCUCAUGACCUCAGACGCUGACCCCUGAGGCCUUCGUUUCCUCUGAGGAGAAAAAAGAAAGAAAAACCCUUGAAACAAUACAGCAUUUUAACAUGUUUAACUUAAAUUGAGCAUUUUAUACAAAACAUGACAAUUAGUAAACAUAGACAGUCCAAAUUUCAAUAUUAUUUAAUGUACAAUCGAAUCAAAUUAAUCCGAGUAUGUAUUUUUUCUAUUACAAAUGAAUGGACUUUUGUGUAAUUAAACAGAUAAUAGUUUACUACUAAAAAUAACUGUUUAAUUUUUAUUUAUUUAAUAACAAAAGAUCAUAUUAUUGAUCCAUUUAUAGUCACAUUUAGUGCUGUGAAUUGUCCACAAAAUCUCAGUGUGCUUUUAGAGCAGCUAUAAUCUGGUCGUUCUUCUACCAGCAUCUCUCUUUUUUCUCUUUUAAUUUUAAUAAGCAGAAAAAUAGCAGCGAGUCCUGUUACAAAGAAAGCCAAAAGCAGAUUUGGAGGUCAUUAAGACUUUCCAAUGUCAAAAUAUUAAAAGUUACAGCAUUACUUUUAACAUUUAUUUUCACAAUAGUUAACAAUAACAAUUACAUUAAUAACUAUAGUCAUGACUCAAUCAUUAUUUGUUAAGCCAUAAUUAACUAAUGAUUAAUGAGAUUCCAUUAUUUAUAAAUAAUACAAAUUAUAUAGAAACAUUUGCUGUUACUGAAUAGCAUUGUGAAGCAAUCAAAACUGUUGUAAUGUAUUAUUGGGUCACAUAUUGGUCUUAUGAUUCAUUGCAUGAUUUUAUAGUAACUAAUAGGAAAGGUAUGUACUGAGAAGAGUGAGGAAUACAAGUCUGGACUACUGAAAAGUUUUAGAAGUUUGGAAGGAGGUAACACUGAGUGUACAUGCUACCAUUGAUAUGCAAUAUAUAGUAUUACAAAACUUUUAUAAAACAAAAAUGAACAUGUAUAAGAUUCUUUUCAUUUGAUGGUCAACAUAAUU